AGACCCGAAACCCGGUGAUCUAGCCAUGGGCAGGUUGAAGGUUGGGUAACACUAACUGGAGGACCGAACCGACUAAUGUUGAAAAAUUAGCGGAUGACCUGUGGCUGGGGGUGAAAGGCCAAUCAAACCGGGAGAUAGCUGGUUCUCCCCGAAAGCUAUUUAGGUAGCGCCUCGUGAAUUCAUCUCCGGGGGUAGAGCACUGUUUCGGCUAGGGGGCCAUCCCGGCUUACCAACCCGAUGCAAACUGCGAAUACCGGAGAAUGUUAUCACGGGAGACACACGGCGGGUGCUAACGUCCGUCGUGAAGAGGGAAACAACCCAGACCGCCAGCUAAGGUCCCAAAGUCAUGGUUAAGUGGGAAACGAUGUGGGAAGGCCCAGACAGCCAGGAUGUUGGCUUAGAAGCAGCCAUCAUUUAAAGAAAGCGUAAUAGCUCACUGGUCGAGUCGGCCUGCGCGGAAGAUGUAACGGGGCUAAACCAUGCACCGAAGCUGCGGCAGCGACGCUGAUGCGUUGUUGGGUAGGGGAGCGUUCUGUAAGCCUGCGAAGGUGGCCUGUGAGGGUUGCUGGAGGUAUCAGAAGUGCGAAUGCUGACAUAAGUAACGAUAAAGCGGGUGAAAAGCCCGCUCGCCGGAAGACCAAGGGUUCCUGUCCAACGUUAAUCGGGGCAGGGUGAGUCGACCCCUAAGGCGAGGCCGAAAGGCGUAGUCGAUGGGAAACGGGUUAAUAUUCCCGUACUUGGUGUUACUGCGAAGGGGGGACGGAGAAGGCUAUGUUGGCCGGGCGACGGUUGUCCCGGUUUAAGCGUGUAGGUGUGUGUUCCAGGUAAAUCCGGUUCACUUUAACACUGAGGCGUGACGACGAGGCACUACGGUGCUGAAGCAACAAAUGCCCUGCUUCCAGGAAAAGCCUCUAAGCAUCAGGUAACACGAAAUCGUACCCCAAACCGACACAGGUGGUCAGGUAGAGAAUACCAAGGCGCUUGAGAGAACUCGGGUGAAGGAACUAGGCAAAAUGGUGCCG
rnacentral:rRNA from 1 species